CCUUCCACUUUUUAGGGGGGACUUCGCUUUGCGGAAAUAAAUUUUGCCAAUAUCUCUUCCGUGUGUCGAGGAACUUUGACAAAAUCUGGAUAAAUAUUUGGGCAUUGAUAAUUUCUAAAUAUUUAUUGUGUUUGAGCAGCGAAAUGAUCGUGAAAUGAAGUGAAAUAUUACGCAAAUCUCGUUCAGAAUGGUGGAAAUUGUCACAUUCAGAGCAUUUCGUGACUUUGCAGGGUGAAUAUGCAAGAUACGCUGUGGAUUAGUGAUUGCACAUGGGUAAUGCAAUGGUGGCCACGUCUUGCCACCUGAACAACACCACUGCAGAAGAAGAACUCAGAAGAACUGAUUCGGAACCUCCUCGAAGCCGCCGCCUCCCGUGCGCUCCUCUUCCAGGCGUCUCACCACCGUGGCGCCGCUGCUCUCCACACGCGGCCAGGAGGCCCCAGAGAUGACCCACCUGAUGCACCGCGCUCGCUCCCUCACGUCCGUGAUGAUGGUGGAGGACCCCGCGGCGCGCACCGUGACGUCUUGGGCUGCCACCCUCACCAGCACCCACACAUUAGCGCCUCUCUACCCUCAGCCCGGCGACCACCACCAACACCACCUUCCCCCAGCGCGGCCACGCCCGCCUCCGCCGCGAGCACCUCACCACGCCCGCCGCCCACUCGGGGACGCAGCGCCGCUGGUCGCUGUCCCUGGAGGAGGACGUAACGCAGUACGUGGCGGAGGGGCGGGGGGCGGCUCGCCACGUGCAGGGCCGCGGUGUCAGGAACUACUACUACUCUGUGACACGCCCCAACCAGCGGCGCACCAGCGAGCGGGACGUAGCCCGCGCUGCCCUCGUCAACUGGGCGGCGAGCCAGAUGGCGCGGACCCCACCCACCCAUCUAUGAGGAGCGGAAAGACCAGCUGAGAGACGCCGCGCUGUCCCGCCGCAACCACACACUGCCGGUGCAGUGACUCAGACUAUUCCGUGGGCGGCCUCACUAGACAGGAUGGAUGGCCCGCCUCUCCCACGCCCAUCCGCCCACUGCCCACCACGCCCACGGCCCACACUGCUCCCUUCCACGCCGCCCUCAACACACCCAGCGGCUUGCACAACCUCAUGGCAAGGUUCGGAGGCCUCCAGAGAGCUGGCCAGAGUGAAGCUUGUGUUAUAGAGGAACAGCUGCUGAUCAUCAAGCUUAUUGAGUGACUGGAGGAAAGUGGAGGAGCCUGGAGGGAGUCGUGGAGGUACAGUACUUGGAGAAAAUCCCUCCACCAUGAUGACUGGGUGUCUACUGUACAGUCCACCGACCAAUGACGGUGACACGUGCCAGUGGAAGCUUAAUGGCUGCCGGCAGGUGCUCGUGAGGGCCAGAAACACUUAUAAUAUUGACAAGUGACCCACCUGCUGCUUGGCCACCUGGGGACUGCUCACACACGCCAUGGUGCAAUAGGAGACUACCCCAUCCCCUGCCUCCCGCCCUGCCCCACCCAGACACCAUGGCCCGGCAGCGACACCAUUCCACCUGCUACAUGAUGCUGGCUGACGCACUCCUGACGUGGCAGCGACAGGAGGUGGAGGGCAGGAGCAAGAGUCGGAUGGUGAAGAAAGGUGUGAUGGCGGAGGUGGUGGCUGUGGAGGGUGUUCGUGCAGGGUACCUCGGCAGGGUCUAGGUUUGCAGUAAACCUCCCUGAAGGUUCCAGAGCUGGUCAGCAGGUGCCCAGUCCAGGCUGUCACAAGACUGUGUGAUGGUGGACCUUCCACUGAUACUCACUGAAAACAGCUGUGCACUGCCACUCACAGGAAAUGGGCCUGAUGUGAAGGUGUCUGCAGCCAGUGUUUGGUGUCCUCUGUGCCUGCCUGGUGGUGCCUCAUUGCAGGGCCUGAUGUGAAGGUGUCUGCAGCCAGUGGUGGUGCCUCAUUGCAGGGCUGAUGUGAAGGUGUCUGCAGCCAGUGGUGGUGCCUCAUUGCAGGGCUGAUGUGAAGGUGUCUGCAGCCAGUGGUGGGUGUCCUCUGUGCCUGGUGGUGCCUCAUUGCAGGGCUGAUGUGAAGGUGUCUGCAGCCAGUGGUGGGUGUCCUCUCUUCCUGGUGGUGCAGCCUGAUGUGUUGCCUGCUUCAGUGUAAAUCUUGCAAGCCAGAUCUGCCAGCUGUCUCCAGUGUAGUAGUCUAGGGUGCUUUGCUUUGUGUCUUUGGCAAUAAAUAAAUUUGUGAGUAUCAUUCUCAUGUGAAUUAUAUAGUUUGAUAGAAUUACAGAAUGUGCUUGUGUAAACUAAAUUUAUAUAUUGGUGGUAAACAAUUCAUGCAUCCCCAAGUAAAUAAAUAAAAUAAAUAGGACCCAAAACAAUAGAUACAAUAGAUCAUCCUCUGGUCAAAAAAAAAAAAGCCAGG